rfam:Nicotiana attenuata strain TT chromosome 8, whole genome shotgun sequence.
GAGCAUGAAGUUGUUGGGUUGUAUUGCGAUGAGGAUUUCAUUCUGCGGUGUCGGAGUGCCAAUGAGGCACGGGUGGUCGAACCCACGUAUGUGGCAAAAUACGGGGAUGACUUGUGGCUAGGGGUGAAAGGCCAACCAAGAUCGGAUAUAGCUGGUUUUCCACGAAAUCUAUUUCAGUAGAGCGUAUGAUGUCGAUGGCCCGAGGUAGAGCACUCAAUGGGCUAGGGUGGCCUCAUUUCGCCUUACCAACCCCAGGGAAACUCCAAAUACAGGCCUAGAUCAUUUGUACAUAAAUCGAUAUGCUGAAAUUGAAAUCAAAAAUAAAUAAGAAGAGGAGCCAAUUAGAUACAAAUAAUGAAUCGUAAUAGAAAUAGAAAAUAAAGUUCAGGUUCGAAUUC